GGCUUUCUUCGUAUUUCCGCGGUAACAAUUUCUCUUGCUUUGUGUUUUCCCAGAUGCAUUUCUGCAUAUGUUUUGUUUAUUGUUCUGUGCUUUUGGCAUUUUCGGAGCUUCAUGUGGAAUGUGGAUUUGUACCCGAAUGUCAGAUUUUAUCUAAUUGGUCUCCACAGUUUACUUGAUUUUAAAUUCAGGUCUUUAUAGUUCGUUCUUGGUUUCUAUUCUGGAUGAUUAAGAUAUAAAGAUGAGCAUUUCUGAGACCUUCUUUUUGUUGGUUUUUAG
rnacentral:misc_RNA from 1 species